rnacentral:rRNA from 1 species
UACGUAGGGUGCGAGCGUUGUCCGGAAUUACUGGGCGUAAAGCGCUCGUAGGCGGUUCGUUAAGUUGGAUGUGAAAUCCCCGGGCUCAACCUGGGAACUGCAUUCAAAACUGUCGAGCUAGAGUAUGGUAGAGGGUGGUGGAAUUUCCUGUGUAGCGGUGAAAUGCGUAGAUAUAGGGAGGAACACCAGUGGCGAAGGCGACCACCUGGACUGAUACUGACGCUGAGGUGCGAAAGCGUGGGGAGCAAACAGG